rnacentral:rRNA from 1 species
UACAGAGGUCCCGAGCGUUGUUCGGAUUCAUUGGGCGUAAAGGGUGCGUAGGUGGCGCUGUAAGUGGGGUGUGAAAUCCCGGGGCUUAACUCCGGAACUGCAUUCCAUACUGCGGUGCUUGAGGACUGGAGAGGAGACUGGAAUUUACGGUGUAGCAGUGAAAUGCGUAGAGAGUCGUAAGGAAGACCAGUGGCGAAGGCGGGUCUCUGGACAGUUCCUGGACACUGAGGCACGGAAG